UACGUAGGAGGCGAGCGUUAUCCGGAUUUACUGGGCGUAAAGAGCGUGUAGGCGGCCUUUUAAGUUGAUGGUGAAAGCUCCUGGCUCAACUGGGAGAGGUCUGUCAAUACUGGAGGGCUUGAGGGCAGCAGAGGAGGGUGGAAUUCCCAAAGUAGCGGUGAAAUGCGUAGAUAUUGGGAGGAACACCAGUGGCGAAGGCGACCCUCUGGGCUGUGCCUGACGCUGAGACGCGAAAGCGUGGGGAGCGAAGAGGAUUAGAUACCCGCGUA
rnacentral:rRNA from 1 species